rnacentral:rRNA from 1 species
AUUGAACGCUGGCGGCAUGUCUUACACAUGCAAGUCGAACGGUAACAGGUCUUCGGAUGCUGACGAGUGGCGAACGGGUGAGUAAUACAUCGGAACGUGCCUAGUAGUGGGGGAUAACUACUCGAAAGAGUGGCUAAUACAGCAUGAGAUCUACGGAUGAAAGCAGGGGAUCGCAAGACAUUGUGCUACGAGAGCGGCCGAUGGCAGAUUAGGUAGGUGGUGGGAUAAAAGCUUACCAAGCCGACGAUCUGUAGCUGGUCUGAGAGGACGAUCAGCCACACUGGGACUGAGACACGGCCCAGACUCCUACGGGAGGCAGCAGUGGGGAAUUUUGGACAAUGGGCGCAAGCCUGAUCCAGCAAUGCCGCGUGCAGGAUGAAGGCCUUCGGGUUGUAAACUGCUUUUGUACGGAACGAAAAGCCCUGGGUUAAUACCCUGGGGUCAUGACGGUACCGUAAGAAUAAGCACCGGCUAACUACGUGCCAGCAGCCGCCGUAAGAC